UACGUAGGGACCAAGCGUUGUUCGGAUUUACUGGGCGUAAAGCGCACGUAGGCGGAUUGCUAAGUCAGGGGUGAAAUCCUGGAGCUCAACUCCAGAACUGCCUUUGAUACUGGCGAUCUCGAGUCCGGGAGAGGUGAGUGGAACUGCGAGUGUAGAGGUGAAAUUCGUAGAUAUUCGCAAGAACACCAGUGGCGAAGGCGGCUCACUGGCCCGGUACUGACGCUGAGGGUGCGAAAGCGUGGGGAGCAAACAGG
rnacentral:rRNA from 1 species